GAAAUACCACCCUUUAAUGUUUGAUGUUCUAACGUGGACCCGUGAUCCGGGUUGCGGACAGUGUCUGGUGGGUAGUUUGACUGGGGCGGUCUCCUCCUAAAGAGUAACGGAGGAGCACGAAGGUUGGCUAAUCCUGGUCGGACAUCAGGAGGUUAGUGCAAUGGCAUAAGCCAGCUUGACUGCGAGCGUGACGGCGCGAGCAGGUGCGAAAGCAGGUCAUAGUGAUCCGGUGGUUCUGAAUGGAAGGGCCAUCGCUCAACGGAUAAAAGGUACUCCGGGGAUAACAGGCUGAUACCGCCCAAGAGUUCAUAUCGACGGCGGUGUUUGGCACCUCGAUGUCGGCUCAUCACAUCCUGGGGCUGAAGUAGGUCCCAAGGGUAUGGCUGUUCGCCAUUUAAAGUGGUACGCGAGCUGGGUUUAGAACGUCGUGAGACAGUUCGGUCCCUAUCUGCCGUGGGCGCUGGAGAACUGAGGGGGGCUGCUCCUAGUACGAGAGGACCGGAGUGGACGCAUCACUGGUGUUCGGGUUGUCAUGCCAAUGGCACUGCCCGGUAGCUAAAUGCGGAAGAGA
rnacentral:rRNA from 1 species